CAAUAGCGUAUAUUAAAGUUGUUGCAGUUAAAAAGCUCGUAGUCGGAUUUUGGUACCAAGCCGAACGGUCUGCCGAACGGUAUGCACUGUUUAGCGGGUACUUCCUUCCGGAAGCCCGUGCUCUCCUUAAUUGGAUGGCACGGUGAGUCCGGAUCAUUUACUUGAAAAAAUUAGAGUGUUCAAAGCAGGCCUAUGCUCUGAAUAGCUUAGCAUGGAAUAAUAGAAUAGGACUUUGGUGCUAUUUUGUUGGUUUAUGGGACCGAAGUAAUGAUUAACAGGGACAGUUGGGGCCGUUAUAUUUCGUUGUCAGAGGUGAAAUUCUUGGAUUUACGAAAGAUAAACUUCUGCGAAAGCAUUCGGCAAGGAUGUUUUCAUUGAUCAAGAACGAAAGUUAGGGGAUCGAAGACGAUUAGAUACCG
rnacentral:rRNA from 1 species